UUGUACACACCGCCCGUCACACCACGAGAGUUUGUAACACCCGAAGUCGGUGAGGUAACCUUUUUGGAGCCAGCCGCCUAAGGUGGGAUAGAUGAUUGGGGUGAAGUCGUAACAAGGUAGCCGUAUCGGAAGGUUGCGGCUGGAUCACCUUCCUU
rnacentral:rRNA from 1 species